UGGAGUAGAACUAGAAAACUUCAUCACGGGCCGGGAAUAAAAUCAUCCUGCAAACAAGCAUAAACUCCCAAUUAAUUCCUUCAUUUGAUAUCCUUAAGAGCAUUGUUCAUACUGAUACAGACGUCAUAAAAAUAGUCAAACGAUCCACUUGGAUUCUCAAUGUAAAUGUAGCUUAAGUGAAGGUGUCCUUGAAUCUACUAUAACCCAAUCAACAAUCCUAGAGCAUUAACGGCAGAUGCUGAUAAAAUUAAAAUGGUCAUGUAAAAUUUUAAUGGAAUGGGUUUUAUCCUUUACUUACAACCUUUAUUGUAGCUAUACGGGAAUUCACAUCAAUGAGUGAGCCACUUGGUUAACAAAAGUGGAUGUUUACAAGAGAUGGGGUUGGUCUGAAGAUCAUACUCAAACAGCAUUGAGGAGAAUUUCUUGUUCUAUGAUGUAUCUCGAGAAGAAGAUUACGGCACUUAUGGGUUUUCUUGUGAAUGAAAUGGGUUAUGAUUCAUUGAUUAUUGCGGAAAACCCACUGAUUUUGAAUGCUAGCUCGAAGGAGAGGGUUAUUAUCCCUAGGGGCUUUGUUAUCAGAAUUUUAAUCUCAAAGGGUCUGAUUGAAGAAAAAGUUUCUCUGAGGUCAAGUUUGUGAAACCAUGUGAGCAAGAAAUUCCAGAAUCCAGUAUUCCAAAAUCAGUAUGAGAAAGCAUCAAUGAAGGUAUUCCGAGGCAAGUUAAAUAACUGAGAGCUACUUCUUUGAAGAGUUUAUCACGCACAUGUACUGGUGUGGCACGAAUGUUUAAGAAUGCUUCCCAAGCAUACACUGGCGACGUGUUCAAUAAUGAAAUGGAUAAGCUUGACCUGAGCUCUGCUGCUGCAAUGGAGAUAUGGAAACUCGGGUUCUCUUCGUUGGCAAGAGUAGAGGCAAGAAAGCCACUUUUUAGUUUGAUGACAACAAACAUAGCCGAGUCAGUAUGCUAAAACCUGCUAAGAGGUGGUAUCCCGUGUCUCACCUUAUGGAAUUCAUCUGAAGAGUUCUGUGUGAUUGGUCUCGCACGCCUAGAAAAGCUGCAGGCCUGGUCUGGACUAAUGAGUAGCACGCCACUGAAAUAAUUCAACAAAGGACGUGCAUGAGUGGAAUCAGAGCCGAUUGGUCCCACCCGUUGCUGGGUUUGUAUAGAGAUCAAUGAACAAUUUUCUUCAAUGAAUCUGUGUUAACCACCAUGGGUAGUAUCUUCAGCAGCAGCGAAAUUAUCGCCUCAUUAGAGACCGAAAGUUUGAUAGUCUGAGUGAAGUUUUGUUCUACAAGAAAAGAAGACUUGCAUCCUGCCACUUACCACAUUGUGCUUGUUACUUACUCCUUGGCUCAGUGACUGUAUCUUUGAUAGUUUGAGUCAAAGACUUACGAAGAGAUAGCAACCCAGAUAUUGUUUGAGUUAAGUUUUGUAGCACAGCGAAUCUCCUCCGCCACAUGCAAAAUUGGAACUAUCAGUCGGCCAAAAUCAACUGUCCAUUGAUUGGCCUUCGCGGCUGACUAUGUUUCAUUUGUUUUUUGAUUUAACAUGAUGAUUCGCUAACCGAUGUGCUGACUAGAGUGAGGCUACAUCAGCAACAAAUGGCUUUUUCAACGGAAUCUCUAUGGAAAUGAGGUGGAGGAAUUCAAGUAAAGGCAGGAGAACCCAGCUGUGGCAUAUGUUUUUUCCUCUCAAAACAAAGGUACAAGUUUGUUGAGGAAAGUAUUUCUAGCAAGUAGUCUCAGCAGCUAGAUUUUUAUCGGUGAGAAUCCGUCUUUAAGGUAAAGGAGGCUUGUCAUUUGGAAGGCAGCUCAAGAAACGCUAUAGCAUCACUGGAUCAAAGCUAAGCACUACCUGGCAGAACAACACCAACUCCUUCGUAAACUGUAUGGAAAGUUGGAAACUAGUAUCAUCAUAUUCCAGUUCUGUUAAAAAUUAAUUUCAAUCCAGAUGAGCUCAAUACUGAAAC